CUCCCACACUCAAUAAGAUAAGAGGUUUCUGCGGCCCUAAAUCGCUCAACUGGUUCAUCAGGAACACGUGACCAUGAUUUACCAGAUGAUAAAUCCAAAUGGGAAUGCGUGAGGAAAGGGGUUUGCUACAUUUGCUGCGAAAGCAAUAUUGAUUCUCUCUUGUACAGAUGUGGGCACAUGUGCACAUGUUCUAACUGUGCUAAUGAUUUGCACCGAAUUGGAAGGAAGUGUCCAAUGUGUCAAGCACCAGUUGUUGAAGUAAUUCGUGCUUAUUCCAUACUAUAGCUUAGACAUUAAAAAUGGGUUACAUAUAGCCAAAAUUACAGAAUCUGCACAAGUUUUUAUUUCC